rnacentral:rRNA from 1 species
CGGACGGGUGAGUAAUGUAUGGGGAUCUGCCUGAUGGCGGGGGGUAACUACUGGAAACGGUAGCUAAUACCGCAUAACGUCGCAAGACCAAAGAGGGGGACCUUCGGGCCUCUUGCCAUCGGAUGUGCCCAGAUGGGGUUAGCUAGUAGGUGGGGUAACGGCUCACCUAGGCGACGAUCCCUAGCUGGUCUGAGAGGAUGACCAGCCACACUGGAACUGAGACACGGUCCAG